rnacentral:rRNA from 3 species
AAACUUUCAACAACGGAUCUCUUGGCUCUUGCAUCGAUGAAGAACGCAGCGAAUUGCGAUAAGUAGUGUGAAUUGCAGAAUUCCGUGAAUCAUCGAAUCUUUGAACGCAUAUUGCACUCUUUGGUAUUCCGAAGAGUAUGCCUGUUUGAGGGUCAUUU